rnacentral:rRNA from 1 species
AUUGAACGCUGGCGGCAGGCCUAACACAUGCAAGUCGAGCGGAUGAGUGGAGCUUGCUCCAUGAUUCAGCGGCGGACGGGUGAGUAAUGCCUAGGAAUCUGCCUGGUAGUGGGGGACAACGUUUCGAAAGGAACGCUAAUACCGCAUACGUCCUACGGGAGAAAGUGGGGGAUCUUCGGACCUCACGCUAUCAGAAGAGCCUAGGUCGGAUUAGCUAGUUGGUGAGGUAAAGGCUCACCAAGGCGACGAUCCGUAACUGGUCUGAGAGGAUGAUCAGUCACACUGGAACUGAGACACGGUCCAGACUCCUACGGGAGGCAGCAGUGGGGAAUAUUGGACAAUGGGCGAAAGCCUGAUCCAGCCAUGCCGCGUGUGUGAAGAAGGUCUUCGGAUUGUAAAGCACUUUAAGUUGGGAGGAAGGGCAGUAAGUUAAUACCUUGCUGUUUUGACGUUACCAACAGAAUAAGCACCGGCUAACUUCGUGCCAGCCGCCGCAGUAAUAC